AAAGUGGCCUCCAUGAAUCAUGCGUUCUGAUUCGAGUUACUGCUCACUUCCCCUAUGUUCAGUCUGAGGCCCCAACUCCCCACCCCCAGCUCAAGGACGAUGCCUCCAUAUUCAAGUGGGUAUUCCUUCAGUUGAAACUUCCUGGAAAAACCCAUAGAUUUAGUUAUGUGAUUACAAAGUUAAUCAAGUUGGCAAGGAAGAUUAACCAUCACAUCCAGAGAAGCUUUGUGCCUGUAGGAUGAGCCCUUUUUUAAGAUUUGGUGUGUAUGUGGAGGGUAGGGUGUUAGGACUUUUUCAGAAGUCCAUUCUCUUCCGUGGUAUUUACGAGGAAGGAUCUCUCAUGUUCUACAGCACAGCAGUAUGUGAUUUCCUGUCUGAUUCUCCUGCCUCUACCUUCCAUCUCAUUCUAGGAGUGCUGGAAUUACAGACAAAAGCCGCAACGGUUGGCUUUUAAGGCUGGAUCUCUGGAUUCAGUUCAGAUCAUCUGGCUUUGAGCAAGAGAAGACCUUCACAGUGUUGCCUCAUGCCUCAUGGCUGCUGUUUUACAGUUCAUGUGCCAACAUGGCUGCUUAAAGAGUUCACAGUGGGAGAGAGAGGAUGAAGGUACUACAAAGGCAUCCAUACAAGAGCCAAGAGUCAAGUUCCUGUCCAGAGAUCCCAUCUUUAGAUAAAUGUGUUUGUGCUGUGUGAGACUGAGUCUCACCAAACUUGAUCCCUCUGCCUUCUGCUCAUAAUCCUGGGUGGCUCGGAUUGGCCACCAUUUCUGUCAAGAAACGUAAAGAACAGCAGCAAUAACAAAAGUAAAUGAACACUUUUUGGCUAAGUCUUAAUGACUGGGAGACAUUGGGAAAUAGAUAUAAAAGACAUUAGGUCUAUUCCUUACUGUGACUGGGGCCUGGAAACCUGACUGGGAACAAUGGCUGCUUACGGAAAACAGACUCAAGUAACAGCUGAGAUCAGGUGGGCCCUGUGCUCAGACGGAGGUGAGCCAGAAGCCUGCAUACUCAGUGCACGGAUGAGGAGAGAAGCUAGUCUCACUAGGGCAUCUCUGUAGCGGAGCAGUCCCAGGGUGGAGUGAGUCUCAAGGUGGAGUUUCAUCAGUUUGAAGACAUUGAUAAUAAACUCGUCACCAGAGAUGCAUUGUCGCUGCAUUGAGACACUUGGACUUGGUGUCAUGUAAUCAAGAGUGACCCCAGAUUGAAUUCUCUGUUUUUGUCUCCCCAUCAUUCCUGUCAUAUUAAUCUGAAUAUGUGCCUGCUUAAAUUCUGCCUUUUGAAUCCGCCUAUCCUAGUCUGUGUGCCUGAAUGUGUCUGUCCCUAACAAAGGGCUUUGCUCUCUUUUAAAA
rnacentral:lncRNA from 1 species